rnacentral:rRNA from 1 species
UACGUAGGGUGCAAGCGUUGUCCGGAAUUAUUGGGCGUAAAGAGCUCGUAGGCGGUUUGUCGCGUCGGCUGUGAAAUCCCGAGGCUCAACCUCGGGCCUGCAGUCGAUACGGGCAAACUAGAGUGUGGUAGGGGAGACUGGAAUUCCUGGUGUAGCGGUGAAAUGCGCAGAUAUCAGGAGGAACACCGGCGGCGAAGGCAGGUCUCUGGGCCACUACUGACGCUGAGAAGCGAAAGCAUGGGGAGCGAACAGG